AAAAAUUUAGUUAAAAUAUAACAUUAACUUGUCAAGUUAAAAUAAUUAAUUAAUUAAUAAUUUUUA
rnacentral:tRNA from 1 species